CACGUAGUUGGCCGGUGCUUCUUCUGUAGGUACCGUCACUUGCGCUUCGUCCCUACUGAAAGAGGUUUACAACCCGAAGGCCGUCAUCCCUCACGCGGCGUCGCUGCAUCAGGCUUGCGCCCAUUGUGCAAUAUUCCCCACUGCUGCCUCCCGUAGGAGUCUGGGCCGUGUCUCAGUCCCAGUGUGGCCGGUCGCCCUCUCAGGCCGGCUACCCGUCGUCGCCUUGGUAGGCCAUUACCCCACCAACAAGCUGAUAGGCCGCGGGCCCAUCCUGUACCGCAAAAGCUUUCCACCAACUCCCAUGCAGGAGAAGGUCAUAUCCGGUAUUAGACCCAGUUUCCCAGGCUUAUCCCGAAGUACAGGGCAGAUCACCCACGUGUUACUCACCCGUUCGCCACUCGUGUACCCCGAAGGGCCUUACCGUUCGACUUGCAUGUGUUAAGCACGCCGCCAGCGUUCGUCCUGAGCCAGGAUCAAACUCU
rnacentral:rRNA from 1 species